CCGGAUCAGAAUCCGACCAUGGCGACGCCCCCCGAUGCAGCACUGCGCCUCGGCGCAGUACGGACAUUCCUUGAUCGCAGCGAGCAGGUCGUCGCGCUUCUGCGCCUGUAUCCCGCCUUAUACCGAGCAAACGGGGACCAUCGGUUCAUAAUCUCUGAUCAUCCCACCGCAGUGAUGAAUGCUUUUCCCUAUGGGGAACUCGGACUUACUUCG
rnacentral:misc_RNA from 1 species